AAGGUAAAAACCGUCCCUGCUCCUUGCACACGGGUUUUAGUCAGGCAACGAGCGAGACCCGCACUCCUAAUUGCCAGCAUCACUUUCGAGUGGAUGGGUACAUUAGGAGGACUGCCGCUGCUAAAGCGGAGGAAGGAACGGGCAACGGUAGGUCAGUAUGCCCCGAAUGAGCUGGGCUACACGCGGGCUACAAUGGUCGAGACAAUGGGUUCCUACCUCGAAAGAGGACGGUAAUCUCCGAAACUCGAUCGUAGUUCGGAUUGAGGGCUGAAACUCGCCCUCA
rnacentral:rRNA from 1 species